rnacentral:rRNA from 1 species
UACGUGAGGGUGCAAGCGUUUGUCCGGAAUUACUGGGCGUAAAGCGCGUGUAGGCUGCUCGGAAAGUCGGGUGUGAAAGGCCCUGGGCUCAACCUAGGAAGUGCACUCGAAACUUCCGAGCUGGAGUGCUGGAGAGGAAGGCGGAAUUCUCGGUGUAGAGGUGAAAUUCGUAGAUAUCGAGAGGAACACCGGUGGCGAAGGCGGCCUUCUGGACAGCCACUGACGCUGGAGACGCGAAAGCGUGGGGAGCAAACAGG